rnacentral:rRNA from 1 species
AAUACAUGCUGUAAAACCUGACUUUUCGGAAAGGUUGUAUUUAUUAGAUAUCAAAACCAAUAAUCUUUCGGGAUUAUUGUGAUGAUUCAUAAUAACUGAUCGGAUCAAGGUGUACCUUGAUAGAUCAUUCAAGUUUCUGCCCUAUCAGCUUUCGAUGGUAGUGUAUUGGACUACCAUGGCAGUCACGGGUAACGGAGAAUUAGGGUUCGAUUCCGGAGAGGGAGCCUGAGAAACGGCUACCACAUCUACGGAAGGCAGCAGGCGCGUAAAUUACCCAAUCCUGAUUCAGGGAGGUAGUGACAAGAAAUAACAACUCGGGGCCUCACGGCUUACGAGAUUGCAAUGAGAACAAUUUAAAUCUCUUAGCGAGGAACAAUUGGAGGCAAGUCUGGUGCCAGCAGCCGCGGUAACUUCCAGCUCCAAUAG